rnacentral:rRNA from 1 species
UGGGGAAUCUUGGACAAUGGGGGCAACCCUGAUCCAGCCAUGCCGCGUGUGUGAAGAAGGCCUUAGGGUUGUAAUGCACUUUCAGUAGGGAGGAAGGCUUCAAGUUAAUACCUUGGAGUACUUGACGUUACCUACAGAAGAAGCACCGGCUAACUCCGUG